UACAGAGGGUGCGAGCGUUGUCCGGAAUCACUGGGCGUAAAGGGCUCGUAGGCGGCCAACUAAGUCGGAUGUGAAAUCCCCAGGCUCAACCUGGGAACUGCAUCCGAUACUGGAUGGCUUGAAUCCGGGAGAGGGAUGCAGAAUUCCAGGUGUAGCGGUGAAAUGCGUAGAUAUCUGGAGGAAUACCGGUGGCGAAGGCGGCAUCCUGGACCGGCAUUGACGCUGAGGAGCGAAAGCUAGGGGAGCAAACGGG
rnacentral:rRNA from 1 species